UUUGAGCUUUUCAUUUUUGUAAUAUUUGUAAUCACUUAGGUAAAACUAAAGAAAUGUACCAAUUUUGAGACAGAGAAAUAAAGUAGUUAGAGAUGUCACAUUAUUAACAGUCCUAAGAGGAGAGGAAAAGCCAAUCUUUAGACCAGGACACUAUUCAUUUAUGAAACUGGCUGUAUUAGCUCAUAAGGGCCCAUCUUCCAAAUAAGGUCCGUCUUUAGACCUGUGAUUUUUAGUGCCUUAGACCUUUGCUCUCCUAUGUAACCGGUUCACCACUAGCUCCCACGGCUGUGGGAAAUGGUGGUGUUUCCUUGCGCUUCAUUGGACUGGCACAUCAUUGUCCUAGAUUACCUGACAGCGAGAGGGCUGGGCUCAGCUGGAGCCUUUGGCUUGGCAGUUUUGAAUAAUCUGCUACCUAAAGGCCAGAUGCUUUUCUCAGUUGCUUGCUGGAAGCCCCUGCAAGAGAAAGACAUUAUUCCUUAUCUGUAAUGCCUUGCAGGUUUACCUGGCUAAGCAAUUUCUGACAAUUGUACACAGUUUCAUUUGCAAAGGGGUUCAGUUAAGCUUUGGGUCUCAGUUGUUUAUUAUUCUUUUUGGGAGAGUUGAAGUAAUUUGGCUUUCGAAUGCUUAAUGAUACCUCAAGCAUGCAAGAACACAUAGUAUGAUGUGUUUUUGUUGUCAUAAUUACACAAAAUUUGGAGCGCUAACCUAAUGAAAUGAAUGAAUCCACUAGAAUGACAUAAGCAUUGACUUUUCUGUAACAGAUUCACAUUCGGAAAUAUUUAGAUGAUGUAAACCAUCGUGUGUUAAUGACUUCUGUUGAUGAGAACUUACAUUCUCCUAUAGCUUCAAAAUGGUUGUUUCCAACUGUAAUUGACCAGAAGUUAUUUGUUUUUCCCCUGGAAUCUGAGCAUAAACUUCGGCGACUCCCAAAACAGCAUAGCUCACUUCCACAUAUGAUUUCAAGAGCAAAGGUAGGAACUGAGAAACCCAUGGUGACCAAGUAGUGAGUCUCGGGGCCUUGGAGGUGGGGAGACGAGGAGUGCCUCGUACUGGAUGGGAAGUUUCUUUUGGGGAUGAUAAAUUGUUCUAGAAUUGUAUAGUGGUGGUGGUUGUACAACUUUAGGAAUAUGCUAAAUACCACUGACUUGUACACUUUUAAAAGGUGAGCUUCAUUGCAAAUGGCUUAUAUCUAUAUAUAAAACUCUAUCAGCUUUCCUGUCUCUGGGGCAAAAUAUUUGUCCCCUGCAAGAUAAAGGAGAACAAGUUUAUUUGGCUCACAGCUUCAGUGGGUUCAAUCCAUGGUUAGCCAGCUUUGGAGUCAUAAACAGCAGGGUGGAAGGGCUGGCAGCUGCUCACAUCCUGGCAGCCAGGAAGCAGAGAGAAGGAAAGGAACCAAGAACAUGGAUGCAUCCUUUCAGGUCACACCCACAGUAACCCACCGCUUUCACCUAGGAACCACUUCCAAAUAGCACAUUCUGCUCUGACCUCACAAUGGACUAAUGCACUGAUGAACACAGUGCCCCCAUGAUCUAAUCAUCUUCCAAAUAUGUGAGACUUUGGGGUAUAUUUGAGAUCUGAGCCAUAAAAACACCUUAAAAUGUGUAAAGAAUGAAGGUAGGAUAUUUACAUUGUGUUCUAUAGUAGAAAGCAUAAUGAUACACGUAUAUAGGUAUGUUUCUACAGUUACAUGUUCUUAUUGAUCCAAUAUGUUCAUGGCAGUUUUGUUUCAAGAGCAAAAUUAACCAAAACAUAAUACCUUGAAAUUGUUAAACAGAGUCCCCUGGCGUUCCAAAUGGCCAGAAAUAGAGCUCAAGACAUUUCUGACUUUGCCUGUUUUGUGUUCUGUCAUCUUGACUGUUGCUCCCUGUCUCAGUGAGUGUUAGUUGAGCUGCUCUCACAGAAUACCACAGAUGGGGUGUCACAGUUUCCCAUAGCUCUGGCAGCUCCAGUCUAUGAUCAAGGUGCUGGCAGAUCUCGUAUCUGAUGAGGGUGUUCUUCCUUAUUUGUGAAAACCUUAUUCUUCUAUCUGGGAAAGACGGGGAGAGGGGAAAAGGGAGUAAAGAAGAGAGACAGAGAAUCUUUUGUCUUUUUAUAAGGACACUGAUCUCACACGUGAGAAUUACACCCUCAUAACCUAAUUACCUCCUAAAGGCCUUACCUCCUAAUACCACCACAUCAGGGUUUAAGAUUUCAACAUGACUUUUAAGGAGAUAUAUUGGGUACAUAAACCUCUUGACUUCUCCAAAGUAAAUAAUAGCUCACUUCUUUUAAGACCAGGUACCAUUGCCAUUGCUUGUUUAAUCUUCAGAACAGUCCUACCAAGAGGCAUUAUUAUUUUUAUUGGUG
ensembl:lincRNA